AAUCUAUAUAUCGAGGGGGUAUACGUAACCUGCGUGCAUUGUAUUUCCAGAUCAUUAUUUCCAGUGACAUAUUUAAUUUUACAAUGAAUCAGGGUUUCGUAACAAAACCAAUAACAAAACAAUUGAAAUCCAUAAUCGCAAAAUACAAUAACAAUAAUAUGGGCGAGCCAAUAACGUUUUGAAAGCGCUUAUUCCUGCAAAAUCAAUAUUUCAUUUAGUACAGGAAUUACACAAUACUUUAGUUAUCUGGGAAUUAAUGAAAUUAGGAUAUAAAACAUUAAUACAUACUCCAAAUGGAAAACGGUCAGUCUAAUUUGCCGAUGAAACACUCUGUGACAUCGCACACGCAUCAACAAUGCCGAAGACAGGUCUCGCAAUAUUCGUAUUAUUCGCGAUUGUUCUGGAGGUCACAGCUUUGUCCCCAAAACAGCGUAUUUCUUUAGAAGAGGCACUGGACAAUUUGACUGGAAAUGUUCACAAACCAACGCAGAAUUGUCAAUGUGUGUUCUGGAGAGAUUGUGAGAGCGAAAUAAAUUCCGACGUUCAGUGUCAUCCGAGCUACGCCAAAGUAUGUUGCAUCGAAUAAUGGAAAUUGCUACACGUACGAUUUAUAGCAGCAAUACGUUUUAUUAUUUAAUUGGUUAUAUAUUAAGGGAUGGAGGGAAUAAAUUCAUGUUGAAGGGAGAAUUAAACUGCUCCAUUCACACUUAUAUGCCCUCCAACCAUAUCUAUUUGUAAGGGAAUGGGACUACAAGUCCAGCCAGUAUUACAAAAUGGUUUACUUUAAACGUUGAUGUGCCCAAUAAUGACCGGUUUAAAGAUACCAAGAAAGGAAUAUUAAGUUGACAGAAUCGGCUAUAGAAUUUUCACAAAUGCGGCAUAUUGACCAAGGAAAAAAUUCCAUUUAAGUAGCACCAAAGAGCAUCGAGGAUAAUAUUGUCAAACCAGGACUCCUAUGUCAUUUUUAUAUCAACUGGACCCGAUUUUAACUUCUAAGUGAUAUGUGAUAUGACCUGCAUAACUUGUAUUGCUACAUUUGCAAAGCUAGUACUUAAUAUUAAAGUCUAAGCCAAGAAAAACGAAUAAAUAAAAAUUAUUAUGAUGAGAUUCAUUUAAAGCACCUACCCAAAAACAUUUAUCAAUUAUCAAGUUCAAAUUAUCAAUGCCCAAAAUAUGUUUGUCAAAUAUAUUUAAAAAGCAGAAAAAAGCAUUAUUAAAAAUAUUAUGAAUUGGGACACUUGUAAAUAUAAACCCGAUAACCGUCAACAACCUAUUUGUCAAAAUCACAUUCUUGAUGAUUUAUAAAAUUUUCCUAUUUAUUUUGUUCAAUUGCUCGCUUUAUCAGUUUAUCACAUCGCUUUUGGUAGAUGGUAUGUGGUAUGUGGUAUGUGGUAAAAAUAUAGCAACCGUGUAUAAAAAUUAGACUAAAUCAUUGUAAAGUGCUUGAUUAUAAAUUUAAGUUAUCAUGAACAUGUUAUCUGCUAGUUGUCGUCUUAUUUUGAACGUCUGUUUAGGUCCUGUUGUAAAUGCAAUUAUUGAUAGUAAAAUUCAAUAAAGGUUAGUAUUAUAA